GAUGAACGCUGGCGGCGUGCCUAAUACAUGCCAGUCGAGCGAACGGACGAGAAGCUUGCUUUUCUGAUGUUAGCGGCGGACGGGUGAGUAACACGUGGAUAACCUACCUAUAAGACUGGGAUAACUUCGGGAAACCGGAGCUAAUACCGGAUAAUAUUUUGAACCGCAUGGUUCAAAAGUGAAAGACGGUCUUGCUGUCACUUAUAGAUGGAUCCGCGCUGCAUUAGCUAGUUGGUAAGGUAACGGCUUACCAAGGCAACGAUGCAUAGCAGACCUGAGAGGGUGAUCGGCCACACUGGAACUGAGACACGGUCCAGACUCCUACGGGAGGCAGCAGUAGGGAAUCUUCCGCAAUGGGCGAAAGCCUGACGGAGCAACGCCGCGUGAGUGAUGAAGGUCUUCGGAUCGUAAAACUCUGUUAUUAGGGAAGAACAUAUGUGUAAGUAACUGUGCACAUCUUGACGGUACCUAAUCAGAAAGCCACGGCUAACUACGUG
rnacentral:rRNA from 1 species